rnacentral:SRP_RNA from 2 species
GAGCUGAUUCGGCAGCGAAGGGCGGAGUUGCUUCGGAGAUUGGAGGAUGCGGACCGAGGCAGCGAUGCUGAGGAAAUGGAGCAAGCUUGCGCGCAAGCAGCAGCUGGUG